GAUGAACGCUGGCGGCGUGCUUAACACAUGCAAGUCGAACGGAAAGGCCCAAGCUUGCUUGGGUACUCGAGUGGCGAACGGGUGAGUAACACGUGGGUGAUCUGCCCUGCACUUCGGGAUAAGCCUGGGAAACUGGGUCUAAUGCCGGAUAGGACCACUUCUUGGAUGUUGUGGUGGAAAGUUUUUUCGGUGUGGGAUGAGCUCGCGGCCUAUCAGCUUGUUGGUGGGGUAAUGGCCUACCAAGGCGUCGCCGGGUAGCCGGCCUGAGAGGGUGUACGGCCACAUUGGGACUGAGAUACGGCCCAGACCCCUACGGGAGGCAGCAGUGGGGAAUAUUGCACAAUGGGCGCAAGCCUGAUGCAGCGACGCCGCGUGGGGGAUGACGGCCUUCGGGUUGUAAACUCCUUUCGCUAGGGACGAAGCGUUUUGUGACGGUACCUGGAGAAGAAGCACCGGCUAACUACGUG
rnacentral:rRNA from 1 species